CCUCACAGGGUAAUUCACGAAUUUCCUACAACCAACACUGAAUUCCGGAGGAGGCUGUCGAGGGACGUCUGCAAACGACAGGAUAUGAACUCCGUUGUUAAUGACUGUGGUGCAGCUCGGGGAUUGAAAAUCCGGUGUAUUACGGAGUAAUAAAGACGACGUGCGCCGUCUGAAGCACUGCUGAGCGACUGCUGCUAUUCCUAGAGACGGCCGCAGAGGAGCUAAACUCAGGAAAACUACCUAUUCAUGACCUACAGGGGGCGCACGAUGGCGCACUAGUUCGCAAUUACUGGCUCAGCCUCAGCAGAUACUGUAGGCUGUGGGACCUCUAGUGUUGUUUACGAAUCGGAAAUCAAAGAAUAGUAUUUUUGCCUGAAAUUUACAGACACAAAGCACGCUUCAAUGUAAGCUACUUACAGUAUGUCGUGCUUUAAAUACGUAAACUGGCUUAUACAUUUUAAGGCAGUUAUACUUCAUACUUCACGUAUAAUUUUGCUUUGACCUAAGAAACCUUUAGUUUAUUGACGUUAUAUAAGUUUAUUUUAAUAAUACUGUGCUUUCAAAGUAUUUCGUGAGUUACAUUUUAUGACUUGCUUCAACAUGAUUUAAGUACAGUGUGCUUAUAUUGUUUCUAUAUGUAGAUUUGGAACCAUCUACCUUGACUCUUUCCCUACAAACCUGUACGAAAAUCAUGCUACAGUAUAUGUAAUGUCAAUGUACAUGAUGAUUCGGAAAACGUGUCAUUUUUUAUAUAGCUGGAUAUUUGAUAUACUUCUCUAUAUACUAUUUGUGUACACUUGGUGGUCUUGGAUUAUAAUAAAACAUGGUGAAUGAG